AAUAGAUGACGCCGUUGAUUUUUUCUCACAUAUUUGACCAUUCGUCUUAUUAAAAAAAUUAUAUAAUUAUAAUUUAUUUUGUUAUGAGUUGUUUUAUCACUCAUAGUACUUUAAGUGUGAUUUAUAUCAUGUUUUGAAUAAGACGAAUGGUCAAACAUGUGAGAAAAAGUCAACGGCGUCAUCUAUU
rnacentral:pre_miRNA from 1 species